GGAUUAGAUACCCUGGUAGUCCACGCCCUAAACGAUGAGAACUAGCCGUUGGGGGUAAUUGAAACCUUUAGUGGCGAAGCUAACGCGAUAAGUUCUCCGCCUGGGGAGUACGGCCGCAAGGCUAAAACUCAAAGGAAUUGACGGGGGCCCGCACAAGCGGUGGAGCAUGUGGUUUAAUUCGAUGCAACGCGAAGAACCUUACCUGCCCUUGACAUCCUCGGAACCCUACAGAGACGUAGGGGUGCCUUCGGGAACCGAGUGACAGGUGCUGCAUGGCUGUCGUCAGCUCGUGCCG
rnacentral:rRNA from 1 species